rnacentral:rRNA from 1 species
GCGGUGGAGCAUGUGGUUUAAUUCGACGCAACGCGAAGAACCUUACCAGGGCUUGACAUCCCCUGACCGCGUAUGAAAGUACGUUUUCACCCUCGGGUGACAGGGAGACAGGUGGUGCAUGGUUGUCGUCAGCUCGUGUCGUGAGAUGUUGGGUUAAGUCCCGCAACGAGCGCAACCCCUACGUUUAGUUGCUAACGCGUGAAGGCGAGCACUCUAGACGAACUGCCGUUGACAAAACGGAGGAAGUGGGGAUGACGUCAAAUCAUCAUGCCCCUUAUGUUCUGGGCUACACACGUGCUACAAUGGCCGGUACAGACGGACGCAAAGCCGCGAGGUGGAGCAAAUCCUAAAAAGCCGGUCUCAGUUCGGAUUGCAGGCUGCAAUUCGCCUGCAUGAAGUCGGAAUCGCUAGUAAUCGCAGGUCAGCAUACUGCGGUGAAUACGUUCCCGGGCCUU